rnacentral:lncRNA from 1 species
ACUUCCCAUCAGCCCUUGAGGCUGCAGGGACCAGCCCUUUGUGGAGAAGCCCAGGCGGCCUAGAAUCCAGUGUCGUCCGUGAGUGCUUGGCUGGUGUUCAAGUGCAUCUUCCAGCCUGAGACCGCGUGGACUCGCUCAUCGUGAGGGCGAGAGGAGGAUAAGCCCAUUGGGCUGUCGGCUGAGAGUGAGGUGCGGGAUUGCUGAUGAAAUCCUUGGCAUCGUCGGAGAUCUCAUCGAAUGCCUCGUCGUCGAAGUCCCAGGUGGCUGAGGUAACGUUGGCCAAGGUUUCGUUAUCGUUGUCUCCCAUGAAGGGGGAAAGGCCACUGACUCUGGAGAGACAAGAGCAGGACAGCAGGUGUGGCUAGGAGAGGGCGCGACGACCAGAUGAGGGAAUUGAGGCACAGCCCAGGCUCAAGUCACCUGCCCAAAGAUUCACAGCCAGUGAGAUUGGAAGCCAGGUAUCUGCCUCUAGAGCCUGUCCUCUUAAAUGCUAUACUAUCCUAACAUUUCUGUAAAGAUGAAGUAAAUUGCAGUGUUCAGCACUGGCACCAGGCCUGGUCCACAGUAAGGAGGCGGUCCAUGCCCGGAGAUCUCAUGCAGUUCUGCUGGGUUCCCUCCACUGCCUUACCAAGCUGUGAGUGCAGGAAUGACUUUGUGACCAGCAGCUUAAGCCAAAUAAACUUUAUAAGGUAAAGAAUUUCAAAACAAAAAAAAAAAAAAA